GCUCUCUGAGGAGCUUUCAAUACUUUGGGGUCAAGUUUGAGGCAGUUGUAACUGUACUGAGUUUAGUUUUGCUAAUAAUGGUAUUCUACGUGUGUCAGCCUCGUGUGGACUUCUGUAAUGACUAAUGGAUAUGUUUAUAUCCUGAGCAUUUGCUGUAGGAAUUUUAAAUGCAAUCCCAAAACUCAAGAUUACCUUAUUUGGAGAAAUAUUCGUGUUACUAUGUUUAAAAUUUAAUAGAACCAUAUUUUACCUUUCACUUUGGGACUCGCACAGGAUGUUUGCAGCUCUUGAUAUACAGGAGUGUUAAGGGUCUUCAUAAACAGAAACCGCAAGGAACCUGGGAUCUGACAGCUGUUGGAGGAAUGCCUGUGAGGAAGGAGGAGGAACAGAAGAAUGCUUUGAUGUCUUAAAUGGUACAUCCAAACUUAAGUGAAAUAGAGCUGUGAGGACAUUUUGGGGAGAAGUGACCUAGAUAAGCACUGACUGUUGCAUUCAUCUCUCUUCUUGCUGAUUGUGAUGAUUUCCUGUGCCAUAGCCAUUCAAAGUCUGCCAAAAAAGGUGUGACCUAGUAUAUUCCCAGCUGUGGUGGCCACGCAGAGAGACUCCUGCUUGAGGAAAGGAGAGGGAAGAGUAAAGACGAGUUUGUCUUGCAUCUUGGGUAUCAGGUCAGUAAAAAACAAACAAACAAAAAAAACAACGGGCUUCUUUUGUUCCAGGCCUUGCCUCCUGGAUGGCAUUUUUGAACCCACCCUGGGCCAGAGGGGAGCCCACUUCUUUGAAGACAGAAACACAGGACUGGCAACAUUUACCAUAAGCUGACUGAGCAGCCAUUGGGCCUUGAGUGAACAUUGGUGGUAGCCAGGCAGUACUUGUCUCAGUACUUGCCUCAGGCCUGGGGUGUCGGUGACCACAGGGAGAGCAUCCAUCUGCUUGAGGAAAGGAGAACAAAGAAAAUAAAGGGCUUAAUCUUGCACUUGAUUGCCAGCUCAGCCAUAGUAGAAUACAGCACCAAGUAAAUUCCUAAGGAUCCUGAUUCCAGGUCCUGGCUCCCAGAUGACAUUUUAGGACUUGUCUUGGGCUUAGGGGGAGCUCGUCAUACUGAAGGGAAAAACACAAGCCUGGCUGGAUUUGCCACCAGCUGAAUAAAGAGUGCUUGGGCCUUGAGUGAACAUUGGCAAUAGCCAAGGAGUGGUCACCAUGGACCUUAGGCAAGAAACCCGGUGCCGUGCUGGCUUUGGAUCUGACCCAGCAUAAUCUCACUGGUAUUUUACUUCUUGUCCAUUUACUUUUUAGUUUAUCAUACACACCAUGU
rnacentral:lncRNA from 1 species